GCAUAUCCUAACUACAUCUACAUAAAAUGUACUUUACAUAAUAUGCAAUAUGGCAUGUAAACACAAAUCACAAUAGCAAUCAUAUAAUCAUGCCAAAAACAAACAAGGGUGCAAUUUGAAGUUAUAACACAUGAAAAGCAUAUUCAAAUGAUACAACAAACCCUAAUCUUAUUAAGCAUGCAUAACACCCUUAACCAUAUAUUGAUUUAAGCACA
rnacentral:lncRNA from 1 species